AUAGGAUCUCCCUUGAUUUUAGAUGUUCGUAUAAAUUCUUGAUUGAUUAACAAAUCUUUACUUUCUUUGUAUUUCAGGAAACAGAAGUAUAUGUGUAUGCGUCUGGAAUAAAGCGUGUAAACAGAUUUUGCUUACAAACAUAGGUGAUCCUAAGAUGUAUACACCUCAUUUGGAUUCAUGAAGAAAAGUUGUUGGCUCUUGGUGGGGAAGAGGACCAGAUGUAAUAAGUGUAGUGGACCCCUGCAGCAUCUAGACAUCAUGUCUCAUACAAGUGUGUCUGGUUUUAAAGAAAGUGAUGUGAGGUGUGGGGGUGGGGGUGAAUACAUAGCCAGGAGAAAUGUGUCUUAGUGGUAAAUAAAAUAGUAAUGAAGUUAUGUUUUAAAGUGCAUUGUCAGCAUUAGUGUCUCCAAAUGUUUAUAUCUUUUAUAUCACAUGGUUUAAUUAAUGUAGUGCUAGCUACAACCCCGUCACAAUGUUAAAAUUGUGAAAUUGACUUAACCUGUUUUGAAUUCAGAACUUAUUGAUUUGGCAGAAGAAUUUUCCUUUGUGAAAAUUCCUGAUUAAGGUUAAGCAUGCAAGUUCUGAAGAUAUCACACAUAUAUUUCGGGUCAUGGUCAUAAUUGUAGAACACUGACAAAGACCCAAACUAUAUUAUAUUCCCAUUUGUGAGCUUAAAUAUUCCUGCAUUGCCUUGUUUAAUCUCUAUCAGACACUGAGAAUAGUUGAGUGUGCUGACUAUCUGACAAUCUUUAUCAUACACUGAAGUAUAAAUUGCUUGAAAUUUCUGAGCCUGAGUUUUUGGACUUGGAAGAGUUUGGAUUUCAUUGCAGCCCUACUACCAUAAUGCUUAAAAUUCAAAACAGAACAAGUCUGUGUUACUUAAAUCUAUCACAGCAAAGGACUUAAUUCCAUCAGGUCAAUAGU